rnacentral:rRNA from 1 species
GACGAACGCUGGCGGCGUGCCUAAUACAUGCAAGUUGAGCGCUGAAGGUUGGUACUUGUACCAACUGGAUGAGCAGCGAACGGGUGAGUAACGCGUGGGGAAUCUGCCUUUGAGCGGGGGACAACAUUUGGAAACGAAUGCUAAUACCGCAUAAAAACUUUAAACACAAGUUUUAAGUUUGAAAGAUGCAAUUGCAUCACUCAAAGAUGAUCCCGCGUUGUAUUAGCUAGUUGGUGAGGUAAAGGCUCACCAAGGCGAUGAUACAUAGCCGACCUGAGAGGGUGAUCGGCCACAUUGGGACUGAGACACGGCCCAAACUCCUUCGGGAGGCAGCAGUAGGGAAUCUUCGGCAAGGGACGAAAGUCUGACCGAGCAACGCCGCGGGAGUGAAGAAGGGUUUCGGAUCGUAAAACUCGGUUGGUAGAGAAGAACGUUGGUGAGAGUGGAAAGCUCAUCAAGUGACGGUAACUACCCAGAAAGGGACGGCUAACUACGUG